rnacentral:rRNA from 1 species
UCGGAGUGCUUGCACUCUGUGAAACAAGAUACAGGCUAGCGGCGGACGGGUGAGUAACACGUGGGUAACCUGCCCAAGAGAUCGGGAUAACACCUGGAAACAGAUGCUAAUACCGGAUAACAACAGAUGAUGCCUAUCAACUGUUUAAAAGAUGGUUCUGCUAUCACUCUUGGAUGGACCUGCGGUGCAUUAGCUAGUUGGUAGGGUAACGGCCUACCAAGGCGAUGAUGCAUAGCCGAGUUGAGAGACUGAUCGGCCACAUUGGGACUGAGACACGGCCCAAACUCCUACGGGAGGCAGCAGUAGGGAAUCUUCCACAAUGGACGCAAGUCUGAUGGAGCAACGCCGCGUGAGUGAAGAAGGGUUUCGGCUCGUAAAGCUCUGUUGUUGGUGAAGAAGGACAGGGGUAGUAACUGACCUUUGUUUGACGGUAAUUAAUUAGAAAGUCACGGCUAACUACGUGCCAGCAGCCGCGGUAAUACGUAGGUGGCAAGCGUUGUCCGGAUUUAUUGGGCGUAAAGCGAGUGCAGGCGGCUCGAUAAGUCUGAUGUGAAAGCCUUCGGCUCAACCGGAGAAUUGCAUCAGAAACUGUCGAGCUUGAGUACAGAAGAGGAGAGUGGAACUCCAUGUGUAGCGGUGAAAUGCGUAGAUAUAUGGAAGAACACCGGUGGCGAAGGCGGCUCUCUGGUCUGUUACUGACGCUGAGGCUCGAAAGCAUGGGUAGCGAACAGGAUUAGAUACCCUGGUAGUCCAUGCCGUANACGAUGAGUGCUAAGUGUUGGGA